rnacentral:rRNA from 1 species
GAUGAACGCUGGCGGCGUGCCUAAUACAUGCAAGUCGAGCGAACAGACGAGGAGCUUGCUCCUUUGACGUUAGCGGCGGACGGGUGAGUAACACGUGGGUAACCUACCUAUAAGACUGGGAUAACUUCGGGAAACCGGAGCUAAUACCGGAUAAUAUUUCGAACCGCAUGGUUCGAUAGUGAAAGAUGGCUUUGCUAUCACUUAUAGAUGGACCUGCGCCGUAUUAGCUAGUUGGUAAGGUAACGGCUUACCAAGGCAACGAUACUAAGCCGACCUGAGGGGGGGAUCGCCAACAUGGCAACGAGGACAGGUUCCGACACCGUAGGGGAGACACCGGAGGGAAUCCUACGGGAGGGGGCAAAGGCUGAAAGAGGAAAGGCGGGGGAAGUAUGAAGGUUCUACGAAUCGUAAACCAUGAUUAUAGGGAAGAACAAACGUGUAAGUAACUGUGCACGUCUUGACGGUACCUAAUCAGAAAGCCACGGCUAACUACGUG